GUUUGGUUUGAAGUAUCCAAUUCAACACAAAUUGGGACGGUGAGCUAACUUUUUGUGUAAGAAUAUUGGCCACAAACUCAAUUUGGUGACCCUAUCUCCCUGCAUCUAUUCACCUUAAUUUGAUUAGGAAAAGACAGAAGAAUAGGUCAAAAGGGCACAUACGUUUGUGUUUCACAACGUACGAUCCUCGUCAAAACAUAUGGAUGACCUUGAUCAUGUUACAUUUCCCGGCAA